AUUGUCUUGUGUCUCUUGCACCUUGAACUGUUCCUGGCACAUUGUAGGUACUCAAUCAAUAUUUGUCAAACAAAUAAAUGAAUGCCAAUGUUCACUAAGUCCUUGGGAUUUGCAGAACCCACUUCUACUGCCCCAAACCUUCAGCAAGUUCUAUUAUCCCCAUUUUACAGAUGAAGAAACUGAGGCUGGGAGAGGGCCGUGCCCCUGCCCAGAGUCAUGUAGCUGGCCUAGGAUGGAUGUGGAAUCCUGCCCCAGCAGUGGUGGUAUUAUUAUUACACCCAUAUUACAGAUAUAGAAGACUGAGGCUCAGCAUGGGUACCUUGCCAUGAUCACACAACUAGAGGAUAGGAGAGGCUGGCUCUGCCUCCUAUGCCACUCCUGAUCCACUCUCCAAACCCUCCUCCAGUCCCCUGCUCCAAGCCAUCAGUUAGGAUGAUUCUUAUAGCCGGGGGUGUGACAUGCCAAAGGUGUCUCUACCCCACAUACUCCCUCUGGAACCAGGACAAGGUUUGCGUGAGGUGGACCUGGGUUCUUUCUGGACCAGGGACUUUGCCUCCAAGCUCAUUUCCUCAUCUGUAAAACAGGAAUCCAACCAACGUCAGCCUGAAUGGGCUGUGGUGGGGUCCUGAGGGGGUUAGGACCUUGCAUGUAAAUGUG
rnacentral:lncRNA from 1 species